rnacentral:rRNA from 1 species
UACGUAGGGCGCAAGCGUUGUCCGGAAUUAUUGGGCGUAAAGAGCUCGUAGGCGGCCUGUUGCGUCCGCUGUGAAAUCCCGGGGCUCAACCCCGGGCGUGCAGUGGAUACGGGCUGGCUGGAGGCAGGCAGGGGAGAACGGAAUUCCUGGUGUAGCGGUGAAAUGCGCAGAUAUCAGGAGGAACACCGGUGGCGAAGGCGGUUCUCUGGGCCUGUACUGACGCUGAGGCACGAAAGCCAGGGGAGCAAACGGG